UUUCCGUAGGUGAACCUGCGGAAGGAUCAUUAAAGAGAUCAUGCCCUCACGGGUAGACCUCCCACCCUUUGUUUACAAUACCUUUGUUGCUUUGGCGGGCCCGUUUGGCCCCGCGCUGAGCAACCGGCCCCGGCUGGUCAGUGCCCGCCAGAGAACCGAAAACUCUGAAUUAAAUGUCGUCUGAGUACUAUGUAAUAGUUAAAACUUACAACAACGGAUCUCUUGGUUCUG
rnacentral:misc_RNA from 1 species